GUCUAUGGCCAUACCACCCUGAAGGCACCCAAUCUUGUCUGACCUUGAAGCUAACCAGAAUUGGGCCUGGUUAGUACUUGGAUAGGAGACCGCCUGGGAACUUCCACCUACAUUAGAGU
ensembl:rRNA 5S_rRNA 5S ribosomal RNA